CGGACGGGUGAGUAACGCGUGGAAAACCUGCCGUAUACUGGGGGAUAACACUUAGAAAUAGGUGCUAAUACCGCAUAAGCGCACAGCUUCGCAUGAAGCGGUGUGAAAAACUCUGGUGGUAUACGAUGGUUCCGCGUCUGAUUAGCUAGUUGGUGGGGUAAUGGCCUACCAAGGCAACGAUCAGUAGCCGGCCUGAGAGGGUGAACGGCCACAUUGGGACUGAGACACGGCCCGAACUCCUACGGAAGGCAGCAG
rnacentral:rRNA from 1 species